CAAUGGCGUAUAUUAAAGUUGUUGCGGUUAAAAAGCUCGUAGUUGGAUUUCUGCUGAGAACGACCGGUCCGCCCUUUGGGUGUGUAUCUGGCUCUUUCUUGGCAUCUUCUUGGUGAACGUUGCUGCACUUGACUGUGUGGAGCGCUACCCAGGACUUUUACUUUGAGGAAAUUAGAGUGUUUCAAGCAGGCAUACGCCUUGAAUACAUUAGCAUGGAAUAAUAAGAUAGGACCUCGGUUCUAUUUUGUUGGUUUCUAGAGCUGAGGUAAUGAUUAAUAGGGAUAGUUGGGGGCAUUCGUAUUUAACUGUCGGAGGUGAAAUUCUUGGAUUUGUUAAAGACGGACUACUGCGAAAGCAUUUGCCAAGGAUGUUUUCAUUGA
rnacentral:rRNA from 1 species